rnacentral:rRNA from 1 species
UACGUAGGUGGCAAGCGUUGUCCGGAAUUACUGGGGGUAAAGCGCGUGUAGGCGGCAGACCAAGUCGGCGGUGAAAGCGCCCGGCUCAACUGGGCGAGGUCCGUGGAAACUGGUCAGCUGGAGGACGGUAGAGGCGAGUGGAAUUCCCGGUGUAGUGGUGAAAUGCGUAGAGAUCGGGAGGAACACCUGUGGCGAAGGCGGCUCGCUGGGCCGGUCCUGACGCUGAGACGCGAAGGCGUGGGGAGCGAACGGG